CCUACGGGAGGCAGCAGUGAGGAAUAUUGGUCAAUGGCCGCGAGCCUGAACCAGCCAAGUAGCGUGAAGGAUGACGGCCCUACGGGUUGUAAACUUCUUUUAUCGGGGAAUAAAGUGAGUCACGUGUGACUUUUUGUGAGUACCUUAUGAAUAAGGAUCGGCUAACUCCGUGCCAGCAGCCGCGGUAAUACGGAGGAUUCGAGCGUUAUCCGGAUUUAUUGGGUUUAAAGGGUGCGCAGGUGGGUGGUGAAGUCAGGCGUGAAAGUUGGGGGGUCAACCCCCGAAUUGCAAUUGAAACUGCAUGCCUUGAGUGCGGGUGAUGUAGGCGGAAUGCGUGGUGUAGCGGUGAAAUGCAUAGAUAUCACGCAGAACUCCGAUUGCGAAGGCAGCAUACC
rnacentral:rRNA from 1 species